rnacentral:snRNA from 1 species
UUUACUGUGCAGUGGCAGUAUCAUAACCAAUGAAGUUAAUCUGAGGUAUGAUUAUUGCUAGUUGAAAACUUUUUCUGUUUUAGCAGG